rnacentral:lncRNA from 1 species
AUGAAGUUCACCAUCUCCUUCCCAGCCGCUGGUCAAAAGCUCAUCGGGGUGGAUGAUGAAGCUUCGUUGUGUUUUAUGAGAAGCACAUGGGCACAGAGGAGCUGCUGAUGCACUUGGUAGAGUGAAGAGUUUGGUCCAGAUCAGUGGUGGGAGUGACAAACCAGGUUUCCCCAUUGAAGCAACAUGUCUUGACCUGUGGCAGAGUGCACCUGCUGUUGCGUAAGGGGCAUUCUUAUAGACCAAGGUAGCUGGAGACAGGAAGCACGGGUCUGUCUGGGAAUGCAUUGUGGAUGUCAUUGUGUGAGCAAUCUCAACUUUGUUAUUAUAAAACAAGGAAAGUAAGAUAUUCCUGGGACUGCCAUUGUGAGGACAUCAGUGUGCCUCAGUGGUGGGGACCCCCAAGAGAUAGCAAAAUCCUUAAGCUUCUUAAUUUCUCUAAAAAAAAGAUGAUGUCUGCCAAUAUGCUUUCAGAAAAAGCAUAUUUCCCUUAAAUGAAAGAAGGAAAGAAGCCCAGGACCAAAGCACCCAAGAGUCCACGUCUUGUUAUUUCAUGUGUCCUGCAACACAAACCCAGACAAAUUGCUCUGAAGAAAAAAUGUGUUAAUAAAAAUAAGGAGGCUGCAGAAUAUGAUAAACUUAUGGCCAAGAGAAUGAAUGAA